AGUCGACGAAACUUCUUUAUCACCGAGUGCUUGCACUCACCGAUAAAGAGUUGAGUGGCGAACGGGUGAGUAACACGUGGGCAACCUGCCCAAAAGAGGGGGAUAACACUUGGAAACAGGUGCUAAUACCGCAUAACCAUAGUUACCGCAUGGUAACUAUGUAAAAGGUGGCUAUGCUACCGCUUUUGGAUGGGCCCGCGGCGCAUUAGCUAGUUGGUGGGGUAAAGGCUUACCAAGGCAAUGAUGCGUAGCCGAACUGAGAGGUUGAUCGGCCACAUUGGGACUGAGACACGGCCCAAACUCCUACGGGAGGCAGCAGUAGGGAAUCUUCCACAAUGGGCGAAAGCCUGAUGGAGCAACGCCGCGUGGGUGAAGAAGGUCUUCGGAUCGUAAAACCCUGUUGUUAGAGAAGAAAGUGCGUGAGAGUAACUGUUCACGUUUCGACGGUAUCUAACCAGAAAGCCACGGCUAACUACGUGCCAGCAGCCGCGGUAAUACGUAGGUGGCAAGCGUUAUCCGGAUUUAUUGGGCGUAAAGGGAACGCAGGCGGUCUUUUAAGUCUGAUGUGAAAGCCUUCGGCUUAACCGGAGUAGUGCAUUGGAAACUGGGAGACUUGAGUGCAGAAGAGGAGAGUGGAACUCCAUGUGUAGCGGUGAAAUGCGUAGAUAUAUGGAAGAACACCAGUGGCGAAAGCGGCUCUCUGGUCUGUAACUGACGCUGAGGUUCGAAAGCGUGGGUAGCAAACAGGAUUAGAUACCCUGGUAGUCCACGCCGUAAACGAU
rnacentral:rRNA from 1 species